rnacentral:rRNA from 1 species
UACGUAGGGACCGAGCGUUGUCCGGAAUCAUUGGGCGUAAAGAGCGUGUAGGCGGCUAUUUAAGUCCUGCGUGAAAUCCUGCGGCUCAACCGCAGACGGUCGUGGGAAACUGGAUGGCUAGAGUGCGGGAGAGGAGAGUGGAAUUCCCAGUGUAGAGGUGAAAUUCGUAGAUAUUGGGAAGAACACCGGUGGCGAAGGCGGCGCUCUGGACCGAGACUGACGCUGAGGCGCGAAAGCGUGGGGAGCAAACAGG